GAAUUUGCGCGUCAAAUCUCUCUUGCUCCCCCAUUUGUACGUGUGUGUGUCUAUAUAUAUAUAUAUAUAUAUAUAUAUAUAUAUAUCGUUUAUGUAUCUAUAUAUCUGUUUUUAUCUGCACUACAAAACUGUCUGUUUAAUCGUGUUUUAAAUAUGAAAUUUAUUUUAAUUUUUUUGGUAUAUAAUUAAGUGCUUUUGUCUCAGAAUUUGUUGUUUGAUUGCUCAAUUUGUACUGAAUGUGACUGGAGUCAGCAUUAUUUGGACGAUGACCUGUGCUCUGCCGAACACAAACUAUUGUAUAUAGUUUUAUCAAUUUAUUAGGAACAGGUAAGGGUUUUUUAGGCCUUCUUACCUGAACUUGAAUGGGGUUUUGGCAUUAUUCCUAACUAGUAUAUACUGUAUAUUAUUUGAAAAAGAGUUCAUGGAAGGGGCAUGUACUUACCUCCAAAAGAUUACAUCAAGGAUUUUUUCCGUACAAAGAAUUAUGAAAUGUAUUACACAAAAUUUAAUAUAUACAAACAGCAAAAUACAAUAUUUGAUAGCAAGGACAGAAACGUGUGCAAAAAAAUAGAAAGAAAAUUUCUUCAUUGAAAGCUUCCGAUCAUUUAUCAUAUUACUAGUCUAUUAAUUUCGAUGAAGGAAAUUUCUUCGUUGAAUGCUUCCACUCAUUUGUCAUAUUACUUGUCUGUUAUUGUUUUUGAUCAUAUUGCCUCUAAAUGUGGAGAUACGGUAUUACCAAUUGUGUUGUUAUAAUGUUUGAAUUGAAAUGCACAAGGAAUCAGAAGAAGUGAUCACAUGUUCUGCGAAAGUAACUGAAACUAUAAAACAAGAAUAGAGGCAUUUUAUAUAUACUAUGCGUCAUGCUAGGAUACAUUGUCUAAAUAGUGUGUUUAUUGAGUCUCCGUAAGCUCUUGUGGUUAGAUAUUUUGCUAUUUUAAUUCUUAUAUAAUAUGCCAUUUUCCUUGUUACAAUUUCAAAAUAUUACAAGGAAUGCCUUGUUAUGAUCAGGUUGACAAUUGUGUAGAACAUAUAAAUAGUUCCAGGGACAACCCCAAGAGUGGUUUUUAAGAUGUGAUGCCCAGAGAUCUACCAGUAGAAGGAUAGAUACUGAUGAAAAAUUUUGUUAUUUAGUAAAGUCGCAGAUCAAGGAGAGCUUCUGCCAAGUUGAAGACUGCUUGAUGUCUUUGUUGGCAAAGUGUCUGGAAUUAGACUCAAAGAACGCAACGAGUAUAUUGAUCACUUUCAGAGUGUCGAAUAAGAGGAUGUUGGGUGGGGGUGUGGUUGGCGUAAUAUUCAGAUGCUUAGUUCUUUUCUGCUUAAACAAAGACAAGAAGCAAGAGAGGUUAUGGAUUUGUACCCUAUAUUGCUUCCUUACAAAGAUGGCUUGAACUUGCUUGGGAAAGAGGUUUUGAUACACAUGGCUCAAAUGACUUUGAUCAGAACAUUUAUGGGCACUUUUGUAUAAUUUAUCAUGAGAUUGAUUUUAUUUCUCGAGCACAUGUUAUCACUGCAAUAUGUUCAUAGCUGUAGUUGUACUAUGAUCUGUGUGCUUUUACAGUCUUCAGAGUUCUAAACACUCACUAGUCGAAACACACAGGGUUAAAUAAUUCUAGCAGUUGCAGUUGGGUAAUUGCCUCAAAAGUCAAAAGUUGGAGGACUUCUAUUGCAAAUAAUAAAAGGUAGUUAUUGUAUGGAAGAAUUCUAAAUAAAGUUGAGAGCAGAAUCCUUGCAGAAUUUGAUCUCCAAUUUACAUUCGAUUUUGGAUUCUUGCAUGAAAAAAUCAUUGUCGAGAUAAAUAAGUUGUGUUUUAGUUUAAAUUAAAACUCUUCUAUUGGGUUAUUGAUCCUAUAAAUAGUGGAGGUAUUUCAUUAUUUUGUGUGUGGUCAUAGAGUUGAUUUGAGAAGAAAAUAUUAUGAGCCUAGCAUCUUAAAACUUUUAAUACAAAUGGUAGAAAAGUAGGUGUUGUAAAGUUUGGGUUUAUUUUUUUCUUUGUAAUACUUGGGGAUUGGGUUGGUAAGUGAAAUUCUAUAUGAUUGUAAUAAUUUUUCGUAUAGUGAAAAGUUUUGACGGUCCGUUUAAUUUCUGCGUUAUAUUCUUUAUUUUUAAUAUUUGCUAAUAUUCUCUUGAAUAACAAUAGAUUCUGCGGCUAAAUAGAAAUAAAGGAUAUUGGCGUAAAAUUCCCAACAGCUGCUUUGUUAUGCAGUUGACAUGUUGAAACCACAGCCACUCCUAUGAUUGUGUUGCUAAAUUUUGGAAUGCUCCUAUCAGAACACUUUCAAAUGUAGAAUGUCAUCAUUUGUGGUUGUUUGGGUUUCCAGUAGAAAAUCCUCUUCUUUUAUGUGAUUCUGUUUUUUGAUGCAAAUGCCACAUUUUGUGAAAAUAGAAAUUAUUCAGCAUGAUUAUAGGCCACUUAAUAGAAAUUCUAGGGUGCUGGCAAUUUUACUUCUUGAAGUAUUUUUGUGAUCAUCUUUCCAGAAAACAAGAGCUUUGGAAAAAUCAUUUAACGAGAAUGUUGGAUGGCAAAAGCUAAUAAAAAGUGGUGUCCAUAUGCUAAAGAAACCAAUAUCAGGUUGUAAUCCAUUAUGUAAAUCUUGGUUUUUCUCGUUUUGUUUGAAUAAGUUGGUAAUGAUGGUUUCUGUUUCAGUUGUGUUUCGUUGAUCCUGGAAUUGCAAGUGGGGAGGAGCUGGAGAAGCUGAAGACCUUGGACAGCAUUUGUGUUGAAUUCUAGUUAGAAAUCUUGAUUUGGUCUUUUCUAGGGUCCUAUGUCGGUUUUUCUAUUCUAGACUUGAUUAAUCUGGAAAUAAUAGCUUGUAACCAUGAAAUUGCAGUUAAGAUAAUAUGGUAAUAUUCAUAGGAUAUAAAUUAGAAGAAGAAAAGCACUAGUUAAGUACAAAGAUGUCUUGAUGAAUUUCAUUUACAAAGUCAGUUUCAUCGAGAUGAAAAUGUUAAGGUAGAUUAGUUUUUCCAAGGUGAGAGGAGUGAUUUGUGGGUGAAAUCAGAGAAUCUUUCGACACUGUUUAGGCAUAUAAGCAAGGGUGAUUAGAUGGGAUUUGGCUACAUUCUAUUUUGAAAUAACUGUUGACAGAGGGAAGCAGUAAAAUAGACUUAAUUAAAUCGAGUUAAGACUAGCAUACUUAUAACCAAGAAUUCAUUUUUAGCCAUUAAUUAGCAUAUUCUGCCCACAAAGAAAUCAAAUUUCAUUUCUGCCAAUGUUUUUAUUUAUUUAUUUAUUUAUUUAUAUUAGCCUCUGAUUCUAAGAUCCCAAUAAAAUCAUACUUCAGUCUUCAGAUCAUAAGAAAAAGCAUGCUAUAGUCUUGAGCUUUGAAGCAUGAAAAGUCUCGAGUAAAGUCCCUCAGAUUCUGCUGUUUGGGUUGCAUCCACCUGCUGGUUUUCACUUUUUGUUUGUUUAUCCUCUAAGUUUGCCCACCCGGACCUCAGACCCGUGAGGCCAGGCUGUGCCUAGGCUGAGCUUUUGCUGUGACUGACAGGUUGGCCGGGUCGACAAUGUUGGCACCUCUAUUUAGACUGAGCAUCAGAGAGACCCAUUUACAGUUGGCUAGCAUGAUGGUUGUUACAAUCACUAUGGACAGGAAAGGCAUUGGACUGUAAUUGCCUUGUUGCAUUAUGGUCUUAUGUUGGUUGACCAACCCUUGUUUUCCUUUGAACUGGGCAUGCUUCUUUUUUCAAUGUAUUAUCCUCUUAUUUUUAUUGGUUAUAUAGGGAGCUAUGGGCAUCAAAUUUUCAAUUCAUAACUGCGAAUUUUUAAUAUGUUUUUGAUAGCAUGCUUGAUUUCUUG
rnacentral:lncRNA from 1 species